CCACCCAACCCUCCCCUCAACAACCCCCAACACGGAGGUCAAACUCUUCGGACGGCAUCACAUUUAAGCAGAUGCUAAUAUAUCACCUAGCUCAUCUGAAAACGCAUGUGUCACUGGAUCAGUGGCUGGAGUUGAGCUAGUGGUGGCGGGACAUGACGACAGAAACACAUGCCUGGUCUGUGGCUGGAGCCUGGGGAGCACGGGGUUGUUUGACAUGGUGGGGAAAUGUUUACUGAGACAACCUCAUCACGGCGCUCGGAGAUCGGUUAAUUUGAAUUGUAAAUGAAGCACCAUGUGUGUGAUCUGUGAGGGCACUGGCCCAGUGCUGACAGACAGGUCACAGUGGCGGAGCAGGUGAAGAAGGCCAGGCCAUGCGAUCCAGGGGGAGGACCGAGGGCUCGGAGAGACUCCCAGCUCGGUGUGGACAGCGGGGACAGGCGAGGGGGAAGCGCUGGUGAAACACAGGAGGGGCCUGCAGCUGGUGUGUGUGUGUCAAUGUUUAUAGAAUAUGCCUCUUUACGACCGCAGUAAAUCUUCAGCUUGUUCCAUUGUAAUCCA